GCUAACUCUGUGCCAGCAGCCGCGGUAAUACAGAGGGUGCAAGCGUUAAUCGGAAUUACUGGGCGUAAAGCGAGCGUAGGUGGCUUGAUAAGUCAGAUGUGAAAUCCCCGGGCUUAACCUGGGAACUGCAUCUGAUACUGUUAGGCUAGAGUAGGUGAGAGGAAGGUAGAAUUCCAGGUGUAGCGGUGAAAUGCGUAGAGAUCUGGAGGAAUACCGAUGGCGAAGGCAGCCUUCUGGCAUCAUACUGACACUGAGGCUCGAAAGCGUGGGUAGCAAACAGGAUUAGAUACCCUGGUAGUCCACGCCGUAAACGAUGUCUACUAGUCGUUGGGUCCCUUGAGGACUUAGUGACGCAGCUAACGCAAUAAGUAGACCGCCUGGGGAGUACGGCCGCAAGGUUAAAACUCACAAUGAAUUGACGGGGGCCCGCACAAGCGGUGGAGCAUGUGGUUUAAUUCGAUGCAACGCGAAGAACCUUACCUGUCUUGACAU
rnacentral:rRNA from 1 species